UUUUGUAUAAUGGGUCAGCGACUUAUAUUCUGUAGCAAGGUUAACCGAAUAGGGGAGCCGAAGGGAAACCGAGUCUUAACUGGGCGUUAAGUUGCAGGGUAUAGACCCGAAACCCGGUGAUCUAGCCAUGGGCAGGUUGAAGGUUGGGUAACACUAACUGGAGGACCGAACCGACUAAUGUUGAAAAAUUAGCGGAUGACUUGUGGCUGGGGGUGAAAGGCCAAUCAAACCGGGAGAUAGCUGGUUCUCCCCGAAAGCUAUUUAGGUAGCGCCUCGUGAAUUCAUCUCCGGGGGUAGAGCACUGUUUCGGCAAGGGGGUCAUCCCGACUUACCAACCCGAUGCAAACUGCGAAUACCGGAGAAUGUUAUCACGGGAGACACACGGCGGGUGCUAACGUCCGUCGUGAAGAGGGAAACAACCCAGACCGCCAGCUAAGGUCCCAAAGUCAUGGUUAAGUGGGAAACGAUGUGGGAAGGCCCAGACAGCCAGGAUGUUGGCUUAGAAGCAGCCAUCAUUUAAAGAAAGCGUAAUAGCUCACUGGUCGAGUCGGCCUGCGCGGAAGAUGUAACGGGGCUAAACCAUGCACCGAAGCUGCGGCAGCGACGCUUA
rnacentral:rRNA from 1 species